GCGCCCUUAGCACAAUAGGAUAGUGCAGGUGAUUUCUAAUCACCAGGUUGAAGGUUCGAAUCCUUUAGGGUGCG
rnacentral:tRNA from 1 species